GAUCACGUGGGUCGUGACGCUGGGAUCGACGGGAAAGAUAGUCUUCCCGGCGCCGCCAUGUUGGGGAGGAUUAACCCUUCCCCUGCCAGCGCGUUUUGCCGCCCUGCCAGGCUGCUGUGAGCGCCCUCAAUCGGCAUUAAAAUGGCUACAAAGCCGAUGUUAAUGCACUCAGGCGCUGACAGGAUGCUAACUCACCCAGAUGUGCGACACAGAGGGAUUCGUUCGUCCAGGAUUUGAGGGAUGGUGGGGACAGCUCCGAGACAGAGCCUCUCCAGAGCCGCAGAGUGGUGCCAAGACCCACCAGAUGCCAGUGAGAGAUUUUUGUUUGCUGUCACCAAACGCACCUUCCUUGGCCCCCAUUGUGUCCAACCAUCACGCCUUGCCCUCAGCCAGCUCCUUCCCCUUUCUCCAGGCCCACCCCAGCAUGGCUCUCCUGGACCCUCUGCCCUUCAGCCUCUCUCCCCACUCUUUGCACCGGGUUAUGAUCACUCCAGACAGGAGGAACACAGCAGAACACGGCAUUCCUCUCCCUCAUUCCCCCUUUCCUGCUCUAAUUGUUCCCACUCCCCUCUGCUUUCACACUUCACCCUCACUCUCAAACU
rnacentral:lncRNA from 1 species